rnacentral:rRNA from 1 species
UGCGCAGGCGGUUCGGAAAGAAAGAUGUGAAAUCCCAGAGCUUAACUUUGGAACUGCAUUUUUAACUACCGGGCUAGAGUGUGUCAGAGGGAGGUGGAAUUCCGCGUGUAGCAGUGAAAUGCGUAGAUAUGCGGAGGAACACCGAUGGCGAAGGCAGCCUCCUGGGAUAACACUGACGCUCAUGCACGAAAGCGUGGGAGCAAACA